rnacentral:rRNA from 2 species
AUCGACCCGGGAGACAGUGUCAGGUGGGCAGUUUGACUGGGGCGGUCGCCUCCUAAAGUGUAACGGAGGCGCCCAAAGGUUCCCUCAGAAUGGUUGGAAAUCAUUCGUAGAGUGCAAAGGCAUAAGGGAGCUUGACUGCGAGACCUACAAGUCGAGCAGGGACGAAAGUCGGGCUUAGUGAUCCGGUGGUUCCGCAUGGAAGGGCCAUCGCUCAACGGAUAAAAGCUACCCCGGGGAUAACAGGCUUAUCUCCCCCAAGAGUCCACAUCGACGGGGAGGUUUGGCACCUCGAUGUCGGCUCAUCGCAUCCUGGGGCUGUAGUCGGUCCCAAGGGUUGGGCUGUUCGCCCAUUAAAGCGGUACGCGAGCUGGGUUCAGAACGUCGUGAGACAGUUCGGUCCCUAUCCGUCGUGGGCGCAGGAAAUUUGAGAGGAGCUGUCCUUAGUACGAGAGGACCGGGAUGGACGCACCGCUGGUGUACCAGUUGUUCUGCCAAGGGCAUAGCUGGGUAGCUAUGUGCGGAAGGGAUAAGUGCUGAAAGCAUCUAAGCAUGAAGCCCCCCUCAAGAUGAGAUUUCCCAUAGCGUAAGCUAGUAAGAUCCCUGAAAGAUGAUCAGGUUGAUAGGUUCGAGGUGGAAGCAUGGUGACAUGUGGAGCUGACGAAUACUAAUAGAUCGAGGACUUAACCAU